CGUACACUCCUGCGGGAGGCAGCAGUGGGGAAUAUUGGACAAUGGGCGCAAGCCUGAUCCAGCCAUGCCGCGUGAGUGAUGAAGGCCCUAGGGUUGUAAAGCUCUUUUGUGCGGGAAGAUAAUGACGGUACCGCAAGAAUAAGCCCCGGCUAACUUCGUGCCAGCAGCCGCGGUAAUACGAAGGGGGCUAGCGUUGCUCGGAAUCACUGGGCGUAAAGGGUGCGUAGGCGGGUCUUUAAGUCAGGGGUGAAAUCCUGGAGCUCAACUCCAGAACUGCCUUUGAUACUGAAGGUCUUGAGUUCGGGAGAGGUGAGUGGAACUGCGAGUGUAGAGGUGAAAUUCGUAGAUAUUCGCAAGAACACCAGUGGCGAAGGCGGCUCACUGGCCCGAUACUGACGCUGAGGCACGAAAGCGUGGGGAGCAAACAGGAUUAGAUACCCGGGUAGUCCCAUG
rnacentral:rRNA from 1 species